ACKGCUCAGUAACACGUGGAUAACCUGCCCUUAGGACGGGGAUAAACCCGGGAAACUGGGUAUAAUACCCGAUAGAUCUCGCUUGCUGGAAUGCAUCGAGUUCUAAAGCUCCGGCGCCUAAGGAUGGAUCUGCGGCCUAUCAGGUAGUAGUGGGUGUAGCGUACCUACUAGCCUACGACGGGUACGGGUUGUGAGAGCAAGAGCCCGGAGAUGGAUUCUGAGACACGAAUCCAGGCCCUACGGGGUGCAGCAGGCGCGAAAACUUUACAAUGCUGGCAACAGCGAUAAGGGGACCUCGAGUGCCAGGUUACAAAUCUGGCUGUCGUGAUGCCUAAAAAGCAUUGUAUAGCAAGGGCCGGGCAAGACCGGUGCCAGCCGCCGCGGUAACACCGGCGGCUCGAGUGGUAACCGUUAUUAUUGGGUCUAAAGGGUCUGUAGCCGGCCGGAUAAGUCUCUUGGGAAAUCUGGCAGCUUAACUGUCAGGCUUUCAGGAGAUACUGUCUGGCUCGAGGCCGGGAGAGGUGAGAGGUACUUCAGGGGUAGGGGUGAAGUCUUGUAAUCCUUGAAGGACCACCAGUGGCGAAGGCGUCUCACCAGAACGGACCUGACGGCAAGGGACGAAAGCUGGGGGAGCAAACCGGAUUAGAUACCCGGGUAGUCCCAGCUGUAAACGAUGCGCGUUAGGUGUAUCAGUGACCACGAGUCACUGAGGUGCCGAAGAGAAAUCGUGAAACGUGCCGCCUGGGAAGUACGGUCGCAAGGCUGAAACUUAAAGGAAUUGGCGGGGGAGCAC
rnacentral:rRNA from 1 species